GUAGCUAUGGUUUAUGCAAGUACUUGUGAUAUGGAGCAUAAUCAAUUAUAGAAGCAGAUCCUUUCAACUAAUUCUCUUAGCCUACCAACUCUUAUCGUUGGAGAUUUUAACCGUAUAAUUAGUGUGAAAGAUAAGAAAAGAGGUAGACUAUUUAAAGUGAAUCGGGCUGUGAGAGGGUUUCAGAAUUUUCUUAGACUAACUGGAUU
rnacentral:lncRNA from 1 species